ensembl:lncRNA
GGUUGGGUUUUUUGACCUUCGGUUGAUUUACAUGAGACCAAGCCUGCUGACAACAGACAGGAAUAGCUUUUUCCAUCAGCAGAAAAGGGUUUUAGGAUGGGAGUUGGCAGGGUUCAUUGAGAGAGCUUUAAAUUAGUGCAGGAGUCCUAGAGUUUGCUAACAGCCAGUGAAAGAGCAAAUGUGUUACUGCCUGCAUGUAUCUCUAUACAAAUAUUAGUAUCAAAAUUAGAUAUCAAACUGCUGUUUUCAAACUGUAUUCUCUUACUCCUUCAUCUUUAAUAAAGCCAUAAUCACGAAUGUAGUAAGCUUGCACUUAGUUCUCAAAUACCUUGAAAUGUAAAGCUUGAAGAAGGAUUCUUCAAGAAUCAUUGUUUAAGUGGUUCUUCCCAUAAAGCGCUCUUCUACACCCUCACUAUUUUUUAUUUCUAACCUGUUCUCUUCUGAAGUAAAAAUAUUUUAAGAUACUGCUUUCAGAAAUAUCUUGGGUACAGAGUAAUCUGACUGCCAGUGAAAGUGCAAAAAAUUUACAGUCUCUUUUGAAAUCAAAGCUUGUACCAUGUGGUUUAUUUUGAAAAUGUUACCAGUUGUUGUACAGUGCUGUGAUCAGCAGAGGUCAAUAUCAAGACCACAUUGGUUUCAUUUGGUCUUUGUUUAUAAUAUUAAUGAACCAUUGAUCACAGCCCCUUCUUUCAUUACAUGACUCUCUUUGCAUAAAAUACUGUCCUGAGUACAGAUAAUACAGACUAUGCCAUCUAGGUUGACUAGUCAGUGGAAGCUUUGGCCCCUAUUCCAUCCUUUAAUACAUUGAAAUGUGGGUUGUUAGUCCUAUCAACCAUUGAAAAACAAAGCUGGAACACCAUCAUGACUAGAUUAACUCUUACACCCUCUGAGUUAUAUGGGGAAUUAAAAAAAUGUGUACUCCCCAUUUUCACCUGCUGCUUAUACUGCUUCAUCCCCCGAGAACAUGAGUAAUAGAAAUGGAAGCCUUUGUUCCUGUCUUAGAGGGAGCAGCUGUGGAAAGACAGAAGAUGAAAGCUCCCAUUCCAAAUUUGAUUCUCUUGUAUGCUACUCUAACUCAGAGCUUGAAGGUUGUGACCAAAAGAGGAUCAGGUAAGUAAAUCUUUAUCUCUGUGGUUAUGAUAUAUGUUUUGGGAAAAAAAAAAUCCUUAAAAUUUACAAAUAUACACUAAGAUGUUGUUAUGAUGGUUUGAAAUAUAGUUAAAAGGAUUUCAAAUUCUGCGUCAAAAAAAGUUGGUAGCUUCUACAUAUUUUUAGACUAUAUUGUGUGGUGUGAACUUGAUGGAAAAAGGAAAAUGUUAAAUACUUCAGAUAUGUAAUGCAAAAACAAUAUAAAUGUUCAUCUGUUAAAGGAGAAUGUCUUUUUCCCCAUUUUAUCCCCAGGAAUUAAAAGACUUUUAGCUUACUUAAAAGACCUUGUUGCAGCCAGGGUCUUUAACAUAAGCUAAUGGAUUUAUCUGUUUGACUAUAUAUUUUAUGGUGAAGAAUCUCUUGGUUAUGCAGUUCAUGCAGUUUUCAUUUAGGCUACUGAUUUUUGUAAUACAAAAAAUAUAUCACAUAUUUUUUUCAUGGUUUUAAUAACCAUGGAAAGUGAGCAGGAAAAUAGAUUUUUAAAAGGACUACCUGAUAUGUGGUUGAAGAGCAAAUGAUUGAUAGUUGAUGCAGCAAACAUAGGUGUUUUUUUCAGAAACCUAGCAGAGGUGGUAUGUUUGCCCAUCAUCUUUCAUAAUGUUAUUGUAGAUUACUUAUCUUCAUAUAUAAAUAAAGGGAACUUCAUUACUAAGACA